rnacentral:rRNA from 1 species
CCCUUAGAUGUUCUGGGCCGCACGCGCGCUACACUGACGAAUGCAACGAGCUUAUAACCUUGGCCGAAAGGUCUGGGUAAUCUCCAAAUUUCGUCGUGAUGGGGAUAGAUUAUUGCAAUUAUUAAUCUUCAACGAGGAAUGCCUAGUAAGCGCAAGUCAUCAGCUUGCGUUGAUUACGUCCCUGCCCUUUGUACACACCGCCCGUCGCUCCUACCGAUUGAAUGGUCCGGUGAAAUCUCCGGACUGGCGUGAGUCGGAGCAAUCUGACAAACGCCGGAAAGUUGAUUAAACCUUACCAUUUAGAGGAAGGUGAAGUCGUAACA